rnacentral:lncRNA from 1 species
GCCCCCAUAGUGUGAGGAGGCCUAGGACAGUUACAGAAGCCAUGUGUAGGUGUUCUGGCUCCAGCAAAAGUCUUAUCUGACAACAUCAACUACAUGUUAGUGGGUAUAACCUCAUCCUGGAGCAGGGCACCCUAUCGUCAGAUGGUAUCAUCUUUAAGGGGUUGUCUCAGCCAUGCCUUUAGAAUUACCUUUCAUUGCUUGUCAUGCUGGAAGCUUCUGAAUGUUGCAUUUUGUGAUAGAAACAGUGGGUACCAUGGUCAUGUGCUCACAUCUCCUUUGCGGUAAAGAAAAGGAUCACUCAUUAACAUCCACCAGAUAACAUUCUCCAUGAAAGCACCAAAUAAGGUUUGUCUUGGUCCAUUUUAUGCUGCUAUAACAGAACACCACAGACUGAGAAAUUUAUAAGGAAUAGAAGUUUAUUUGCCUCAUGUUUCUGGAGGCUGGGAAUUCCAAGAUCAAGGGGCUGCAUAGAUUGAGGUCCUUUUUGCUGACUCAUAACGUGGAAAGAGAGUGCACUGCAUAGAAGAAAGGAGGCCAAACUCAUUCUUUUAUCAUGAGCCUACUCCUGAAAUAACUCACUCUCAAGAUAAUGGCAUUAAUCCAUUCAUGAAGGCAGAAUACUCAUGAUGUAAUCACCUCUUAAAAGGUCCUAUUUCCUAACACUGUUGCAUUAGGGAUUAAGCUGUCAACACAUGAAUAUUGGGGGACACAUUCAAACCAUAGCAAGAGUUCUUUGUCUUUGUGACUCGGUGUGGUUCAGCAAAUUGCGAUUGGUCUGCUAUAGCGGACUUUCCCCUCACCUCCCAAAUGUUUAUUAUGAAAAAUUUCAUUUUAAAGAAAGGUGGAAGGAAUUGUUGAAAGAAUAUGUCAUCUAGUUUCUACUGUUGUUAACAUUGUGUCAUAUUUGCCUUUUCAUCCAUCCAACCACCCAUCCAUCUAGCUACCUUAUAAUUACUAUUAUUACUUAUUAUUACUAUUAUUUUUAAAGACACCUCUAUUAAAGCAACCAUCUUAUUUUUUGAUUUUAUUUAUUUUCAAAGUUAGUUGCAGACAUUAGUAUACUUUACUCCUAGACAUUUUAGCGUGAACAUAAUUAACUGGAGUAUAAUACUUGUUUUCAAUUUCUUUUUAUUUUUGAGGUAAAAUUUACAUACAGUGAAAUCCAAAUCUUAAGUGUACCACUAGAUAAAUUUUGAUAAAUGCAUUAUGCCUGGUCUUCACACACCCUUUUCAAUAUAUAGAAAAUUUCCAGAUAAUUUAUUUUGUUGUUUUUUUCACACACUAAGUUCUAGACUUUUCCAGGUCCGAGGGAACUAUUAGGGGGGAAAGUACUUGUUAUAGUAAAAAAGAUUUUAGGUGUGUUUGUUUUUAAGGUGCAGAAACACAUCGCAGAUUAAGGUCUGCAUCUCUGCUUUUUGUUAUUGUUCCAGUUUGAUCUCAGUGACAUUACAAGCAAGCAGAAACACUCAGACAUGAAAUGGCCAGUGCCUGUGAGUUAAGAGCAGGAUCUAGGUCUAUUUUUUUGAUAUGUAUCUCAACUACCUGGAAUACUUUAUACUUUUGGCACUCAAUAAAUAUUUGUUGCUGCCAGACGAUCUGCC